rnacentral:rRNA from 1 species
UAUUGCAUUUUCCAAUAGCGGAGGAAAAGAAAUCCACAGGGGAAUGACCUGAGGAAAGGAGAGCGACGCGGCAAAAGCUCAAAUUGGAAAUCGGCCUCCCGGUAGAGUUGUAAUUUGUAGAUUGUAUAAUGAGAGCGGAUUAAAGUCUGUUGAACACAGCGCGUUAGAGGGUGCCAGCCCCGUAAAAUCUAUUAUCAUGAUAAGAUACUUUCGAAGAGUCGAGUUGUUUGGGAAUGCAGCUCUAAGUGGGAGGUAAAUUCCUUAAAAAGCUAAAUAUUGGGGAGAGAAUUCCAGCGAACAAGUAAUAUGAAGGAAAGAUGAAAAGCACUCAGAAACGAGAAUGAAAAAAUAAAAAAAAUUGUUAAAAGGGAAGGGUACAGAAUCAGAAUUGGUGGAAAGGGUCAGGUGUGCUUGCGCACAGGGUAUUCAGCAGCAAUAGUCCAAGGGGGGGGGGGAGCGAGAGAAAAAGAAUAGGAAGGCACUCUUGGGAGGUUAUAGCAUACUUUCAUAGCUCUCAGGCGCCUCAGGAGUCGGUGGGCAAGACGUGCA